rnacentral:rRNA from 1 species
GACGAACGCUGGCGGCGUGCUUAACACAUGCAAGUCGAACGGAGUGGCGAACGGGUGAGUAACACGUGGGUGACCUGCCCUGCACUUCGGGAUAAGACUGGGAAACUGGGUCUAAUACCGGAUAGUGUGGGAUGGGCCCGCGGCCUAUCAGCUUGUUGGUGGGGUAAUGGCCUACCACGGCGGCGACGGGUAGCCGGCCUGAGAGGGUGGACGGCCACAUGGGGACUGAGACAGGGCGCAGUCUCCUACGGGACGCAGCAGGGGGGAAUAUUGCACAAUGGGGGGAAGCCUGAUGCAGCGACGCCGGGUGGGUGAUGACGGCCUUCGGGUGGUGAACUCCUUUCACCAUCGACGCGGUAGAUGGAGAAGAAGCACCGGCUAACUACGUGCCAGCAGCCGCGGUAAUUC